UAUCUUGUAGAUGUCUGAUGAAGAUUAAAUUAAUCAAAUAAAACGGUAAUUGACAGUCAAGACAAUAGAAAAUUAAUUUGGUACAAAAGUAAUUCUUCUCACUGAAUUUAAUGACAAAUUUAAUCUUUGUUCGUCUGGAUAAAUUCUAUAAAAUUUUCAAACGGAAAAGAUUUUGUCGAUGAAAAUCAAUACAGUUAAUCCAAAGGAUCAAUGAAAAAUUAUACGAGAAGAUUUAGGUUAAUCCCUUGGGAGUGACGUCUUUUAUCGUGAAGACGAUAAAAGACGGAUCCUUACAAGCGGCGUGUGAAUAAUUUUUAGGUAUCGGCCGCAACUACUUGGCCAACUUCGCUUUCUUUUUCUAUGAGUUGCAGCCUGUAGUUAGUCGCGAGAAGGAGACAGCGAAACUGGCAUAAAAAUCACGUGGCGGGAGCACGCGGUAGAGAGAAAUAAGUUCAGCUAUAAUACUAUAUAGCCAGGUGCCUAUAAUAUAAGCACCGGCAGUUACAUUAGCUUCGAGCCCGCCGAUAUGAAUUAGUACUGUUUAGUCCGCUCUGGGAUACACGUCUAAUAUUUUCUCCGGUAAAUGAACUCUCUAAUUACCCGUUUCCUUAAAAUACUACAUGAUAUUAAUUCAACAAUAUAAUAAUGAAUUCUGGGAAAUUUUUAUUUUCACUGGAAAGCGUAAGGAUUUAAAAGAUAAAGUCAUCUUGCACACUAGGUCUCUGAAAUCUCAGAAGUUAUUUUAAAAUAAAUUUUA